AAUCAACGCUGGCGGCGUGCCUCAGACAUGCAAGUCGAACGCGAAAGUUUCCUUCGGGGAACAAGUAGAGUGGCGCACGGGUGAGUAACACGUAGGUAAUCUACCUUUGGAUGGGGAAUAACAAUCGGAAACGGUUGCUAAUACCGCAUAAUGCAGCGGCACCUAAUGGUGACAGUUGUUAAAGCGGGGGAUCGAAAGACCUCGCGUCUGAAGAGGAGCCUGCGGCGGAUUAGCAGUUGGUAAGGUAAUGGCUUACCAAGGCAACGAUCUGUAGCCGGUCUAAGAGGACGGUCGGUCACACUGACACUGAAUAACGGGUCAGACUCCUACGGGAGGCAGCAGUCGGG
rnacentral:rRNA from 1 species